GUGACUGCGUACCUUUUGUAUAAUGGGUCAGCGACUUAUAUUCUGUAGCAAGGUUAACCGUAUAGGGGAGCCGAAGGGAAACCGAGUCUUAACUGGGCGUUAAGUUGCAGGGUAUAGACCCGAAACCCGGUGAUCUAGCCAUGGGCAGGUUGAAGGUUGGGUAACACUAACUGGAGGACCGAACCGACUAAUGUUGAAAAAUUAGCGGAUGACUUGUGGCUGGGGGUGAAAGGCCAAUCAAACCGGGAGAUAGCUGGUUCUCCCCGAAAGCUAUUUAGGUAGCGCCUCGUGAACUCAUCUUCGGGGGUAGAGCACUGUUUCGGCUAGGGGGUCAUCCCGACUUACCAACCCGAUGCAAACUGCGAAUACCGAAGAAUGUUAUCACGGGAGACACACGGCGGGUGCUAACGUCCGUCGUGAAGAGGGAAACAACCCAGACCGCCAGCUAAGGUCCCAAAGUCAUGGUUAAGUGGGAAACGAUGUGGGAAGGCACAGACAGCCAGGAUGUUGGCUUAGAAGCAGCCAUCAUUUAAAGAAAGCGUAAUAGCUCACUGGUCGAGUCGGCCUGCGCGGAAGAUGUAACGGGGCUAAACCAUGCACCGAAGCUGCGGCAGCGACACUAUGUGUUGUUGGGUAGGGGAGCGUUCUGUAAGCCGUUGAAGGUGUAUCGUGAGGUAUGCUGGAGGUAUCAGAAGUGCGAAUGCUGACAUAAGUAACGAUAAUGCGGGUGAAAAACCCGCACGCCGGAAGACCAAGGGUUCCUGUCCAACGUUAAUCGGGGCAGGGUGAGUCGACCCCUAAGGCGAGGCCGAAAGGCGUAGUCGAUGGGAAACAGGUUAAUAUUCCUGUACUUGGUGUUACUGCGAAGGGGGGACGGAGAAGGCUAUGUUAGCCGGGCGACGGUUGUCCCGGUUUAAGCAUGUAGGCGGAGGUUCCAGGUAAAUCCGGUACCUUUUUAACGCUGAGGUGUGAUGACGAGGCACUACGGUGCUGAAGUAACAAAUGCCCUGCUUCCAGGAAAAGCCUCUAAGCAUCAGGUAACACGAAAUCGUACCCCAAACCGACACAGGUGGUCAGGUAGAGAAUACCAAGGCGCUUGAGAGAACUCGGGUGAAGGAACUAGGCAAAAUGGUGCCGUAACUUCGGGAGAAGGCACGCUGAUAUGUAGGUGAAGUGAUUUACUCAUGGAGCUGAAAUCAGUCGAAGAUACCAGCUGGCUGCAACUGUUUAUUAAAAACACAGCACUGUGCAAACACGAAAGUGGACGUAUACGGUGUGACGCCUGCCCGGUGCCGGAAGGUUAAUUGAUGGGGUUAUCCGUAAGGAGAAGCUCUUGAUCGAAGCCCCGGUAAACGGCGGCCGUAACUAUAACGGUCCUAAGGUAGCGAAAUUCCUUGUCGGGUAAGUUCCGACCUGCACGAAUGGCGUAAUGAUGGCCAGGCUGUCUCCACCCGAGACUCAGUGAAAUUGAACUCGCUGUGAAGAUGCAGUGUACCCGCGGCAAGACGGAAAGACCCCGUGAACCUUUACUAUAGCUUGACACUGAACACUGGUCCUUGAUGUGUAGGAUAGGUGGGAGGCUUUGAAGUGUGGACGCCAGUCUGCAUGGAGCCAUCCUUGAAAUACCACCCUUUAAUGGCUGGUGUUCUAACGUGGACCCGUAAUCCGGGUUGCGGACAGUGUCUGGUGGGUAGUUUGACUGGGGCGGUCUCCUCCUAAAGAGUAACGGAGGAGCACGAAGGUUAGCUAAUCCUGGUCGGACAUCAGGAGGUUAGUGCAAAGGCAUAAGCUAGCUUGACUGCGAGAGUGACGGCUCGAGCAGGUGCGAAAGCAGGUCUUAGUGAUCCGGUGGUUCUGAAUGGAAGGGCCAUCGCUCAACGGAUAAAAGGUACUCCGGGGAUAACAGGCUGAUACCGCCCAAGAGUUCAUAUCGACGGCGGUGUUUGGCACCUCGAUGUCGGCUCAUCACAUCCUGGGGCUGAAGUAGGUCCCAAGGGUAUGGCUGUUCGCCAUUUAAAGUGGUACGCGAGCUGGGUUUAGAACGUCGUGAGACAGUUCGGUCCCUAUCUGCCGUGGGCGCUGGAGAAUUGAGGGGGGCUGCUCCUAGUACGAGAGGACCGGAGUGGACGCAUCACUGGUGUUCGGGUUGUCAUGCCAAUGGCAUUGCCCGGUAGCUAAAUGCGGAAGAGAUAAGUGCUGAAAGCAUCUAAGCACGAAACUUGCCCCGAGAUGAGUUCUCCCUGAGACUUUAAGUCUCCUGAAGGAACGUU
rnacentral:rRNA from 1 species